CAGACGGGGUUUUACCAUGUUGGCCAGGAUGGUCUCCAUCUCUUGACAUUGUGAUCCACCUGCCUCGGCCUCCCAAAGUACUGGGAUUACAAGCACUUGCUCAACGCAUGGAUGAGAACCCUGCAGGAUCCUCGCAGAGAGUGGGAAGAGCUCUACAGAUUGAGUGUCAGGAUCAUCGGAGCUCCUAGUGCAGAGUCUACAGUCUGGCCACAAACCCUUCUUUCUAAUUAGAAGACUGGUCAGGUGGGGGUGAAGGAAGGACCUCUGGAAGACACAAGCUGUAAACUCUGAAGCAGCGACUUUAAAGUAUAAUAAAACAAUG